AUUGAACGCUGGCGGAAUGCUUUACACAUGCAAGUCGAACGGCAGCACGGACUUCGGUCUGGUGGCGAGUGGCGAACGGGUGAGUAAUAUAUCGGAACGUGCCCAGUCGUGGGGGAUAACGUAGUGAAAAUUACGCUAAUACCGCAUACGAUCUACGGAUGAAAGCGGGGGAUCGCAAGACCUUGCGCGAUUGGAGCGGCCGAUAUCAGAUUAGGUAGUUGGUGAGGUAAAGGCUCACCAAGCCGACGAUCUGUAGCUGGUCUGAGAGGACGACCAGCCACACUGGGACUGAGACACGGCCCAGACUCCUACGGGAGGCAGCAGUGGGGAAUUUUGGACAAUGGACGCAAGUCUGAUCCAGCCAUUCCGCGUGCAGGACGAAGGCCUUCGGGUUGUAAACUGCUUUUGUACAGAACGAAAAGGUCUCUACUAAUACUAGGGGCUCAUGACGGUACUGUAAGAAUAAGCACCGGCUAACUACGUGCCAGCCGCCGCCGUAA
rnacentral:rRNA from 1 species